rnacentral:rRNA from 1 species
GUGAGGAAUUUUGGACAAUGGGCGAAAGCCUGAUCCAGCAACGCCGCGUGGACGAUGAAGGUCUUCGGAUUGUAAAGUCCUGUCGAGUGGGAAGAACGGCGCGAGAGUUAACAGCUCCCGCGCCUGACUGUACCACCAGAGGAAGCCCCGGCUAACUCCGUGCCAGCAGCCGCGGUAAUACGGAGGGGGCCAGCGUUGUUCGGAAUUAUUGGGCGUAAAGGGCGCGUAGGCGGCGAGGUAAGUCAGACGUGAAAUCCCCCGGCUCAACCGGGGAAUUGCGUCUGAAACUGCCCUGCUUGAGGCCGGGAGAGGAGAGUGGAAUUCCCAGUGUAGCGGUGAAAUGCGUAGAUAUUGGGAGGAACACCGGUGGCGAAGGCGGCUCUCUGGACCGGUUCUGACGCUGAGGCGCGAAAGCUAGGGGAGCAAACAGGAUUAGAAACCCGAGUAGUCC